AAGUCGUAACAAGGUUUCCGUAGGUGAACCUGCGGAAGGAUCAUUAGAGAUUGGCCUAACGGCCGUGUCUAUUCCACACACACCGUGAACCGUUUUGGGCUUCGGCCCGCAACAAACAAUGUGUAAUGAAUGUAUAUAAUCGUAAACAAAACAAAA
rnacentral:misc_RNA from 1 species